CACAAUAAUCUGUCAACGAACACGAACAAAGAACUCCACUUGUCGUUCCUAUACUUGGUUCACCGACACGAUCAGAUCCGUGUUGAUUAUACGUGUAAUACCCUGAAUUUUUAAAACUCGAUUAAUUAUGUUUAUUAGCGCAAAACCGUUUUAAAUCUUACUUUUUGACUUUCAAUUUAACUACUUUGACUUGGAAAUUUAAAUAUUUUAAUGGUAAGAAUAUUAUUAUUUUGAUUUCAUAAUUUUUUUUAUUAAAGGUUGUAAUUAUUUUUGAUUUAAGUUCAAUUAGAGGAGUAAAAUUCAGAAAUUUUCCUAACAUUUUGCAAUUACCAAAGUACCCUUUUUCAAUUGAGAAACCAAAAAUCAGUUUCUUUCUUCCUCCCUUCUCCUUCUCCUUCACGCCACUUUUGCCAUGGAAGUCAAAGUUUGCUUUCCAAAUGUCACCACUACUUUUCAUCUUGCCUGAGUCAUCAAUGAAGGUGGACACUUAUCAGUAAUGCAAAGCCUUAGUCACUACACUCUUGAUCUCUUCUUUACAUUUGUCAAUUCAAAAACUUGAACAUGAGCUCACUGCAUACAUCAAUGGACACCCCUUAUUGCUAUAAAUAGCCUCUUAAUUAGACUGGAAAUUCAAGCCAAAACAACCACUAACUUCAGUUUUAAUCAUUAAACUCCUCACUUUUUUUUUUUUACCCCUUUAUUUCAGUUUUGAACCACCACCACCGCCUCCAUAGACUGCCUUCGGGAGCCCCACUAGCGCCACCCUCUGCCCUCCUCCUUCAGGUCCUCCAUUGUUGUUGCAGUCGACCAACACCGAUGCCGACCACCUUUUCUCGCCUCCCUCUCGGCUUCUCUACUCCCUGCUUUCUCCCUCUCCUCCGCGCAUACACCACACUAACGCCCCUCCUUUGUGCUUAUUCCAGCACUCGCCACCAGAUUCCGGCCAUGAACCGCCGAUCAGUACCACCAAACCACCUCCAAAAUCUGUCCACUUAACCUCCGACCACCUGAACCCCGCCUCACGCAAAGACCCGGCCAACUUCAUUUUUCCUUGUUCGUGCUUCUCUUUUUCAAUUCGUGCCAUAUUGGUGCAGGACCAAUUUGGACAUUUAUUUCUAAAUUCCAAAAGUCAAACUCCACAUUCAUACAAACCAAUAAAGUAAUUUGGAAUAUUCGGUCCUUGGAGCUCAGGAAGAACGAUCCAUCGAACAGGGAAUAUAAACUACGGUUGAGGUACGAAGAAGAUCAGGGGAUGCCUUAGAGUGAGGAUGCAACCAUCAAAUUCACGAUCGAUGCUUAAUAAAGAUAAUCAUGUUUCACUAGUAAUAAUGGAUGAACAAAUUGAACUCUAAGUCAAAUUUUAAUUAUUGAGUUGGAUUUUAAUAUUUAUAAUUAAUCAAUGUUAGGAAUAUUCAUUAAAUUUUCAUUUAGAUUUCGAUGUGAAUAUUAAAAAAUUAAUCGAAGUAAAGUAUAAUCACUGUUACUCAUCAGUAGUCAGUAAAUAUAAAAAGGGUUAUGUCGCCUUGUAUUUCCCACGAGGGAGAUACGGCAGUAACGCUCUGUAAUACCCCGAAUUUUUAAAACUCGGUUAAUUAGGCUUAAUUAUUUUUAUUUAGCUUAAAAUCGUUUUAAAUCCUAAUUUCGAACUUUAUUUUAAUUAACGAAGUUUUAUUUCGCUUGAAUUUUUAAUAUUGCUACACGAUUUAUUUAUUUUCAAUUUAUAAUUUAACUUUCAUAUUUACGAGCUUAACGAACCUUUUUUUUUUAAAAUUUUAAUUAUUUUCGGAUUUCUAAAUUUAUUUUAUUCAGAAACUAAAUUAAUUAUUUAACGUUCUUAUUUUUAUUCGGAAACUAAAUUUAUUUUUCGUUAACGAUAUUUUAUAAAGAAUUAUUUUAGCUAAACAUUUCUAUUUUUAGUAGUUUCCUAAAUAGCAAUUAUAAUUCAGAAAUUUGCCUAACUAGUGAAAAUUACGAAAAUGCCCUUUUAAAGCCAAAAUGCCAUUUUUCUUCUUCUCUCUUUGCUCUCCACGUAGAAAGCAAGAAUGAAGCGGUUUCUUCAUUCCUCUCCUUCCCUCAAUUCAGUCUUAAUUCAUUGCCUUGCUCCCCAAGGAUUUCCCUUUUCACCCACUCUACUUGUUAAUAAUCAGCCAUUCUUUUCCAUUUUCCUCAACCAAAAAUCAGAAAUCAAAGAAAAACCAAACCCACUUCAACUCCUUUGUUUCCUGCAAUUUCGAACCACCAACAGCCACCACCGUGCCAACCACCAUCACCACCUACUGAACAUCAUCACCGCAGACACCAACACCACAACCGCACGCACCACCCUUGCCUCCCUUGCUCUUCGCGCAUCCCCUGCCUCCCUCCUCCCUCUUCCUUCCCCUGCUUCACUGCACUACACCCGCACCCACCAACGCAGCACCACCACCUGCAGCCACCACUACCACCAUCUCCUCACCUCGCUACAACCAUCACUCAAUCACCCGACCACCCAGAACCACCGCACACCCACCGUAGCCCCUGCCUCCCCUCCUUCGAACUCCCCUGCCUCUUCCUCUCUUUACCUCGCUGCACACCAACGCCACACACACCACCACCACUGUCCACCCUCACCACCUUAUUCAUUGACCUCCGCCGCCCACAAUUCCCGGCGAGCUGUUAUUGCGCCGCCCAAAACUGACCGCAGACACCCCAAACUCCCCUGCUUUUCCGAUCCUUUUCGCCUCCCUCUCCUUCGCGACGCGCCGCCGUGAAGCCCCCCACUACCACCUUCGCCUUCACCGGCGUAGCCCGACGGCAUAAAGCCGCCCAUCUCAGCCGCCGUCCUCUCCUCUCCUCCUCCUCCUCUCCUUCGUGCUCCCCUGUUUCGCACUCCCUCCCCUAUUUGGUCGACUUCCAGGAACCAGAAACCAAAAAUACGUUUUUGUUUUAGCAAAUCCAAAACAAAAAGGGUUGGGCCCAAUUUUAAUAUUUGGGUUUUGAUAAGCUCAUUUCCUAUUGUUAUUUUCAGAUUUAUGAAUUUACCUUCCAUGUUUUUCUAAAUAAAUUUGAUAAAGUAUUUUAAUAUAUAUUUAUAUAAUUAUUUACUAAUAAAAUUGUUUAUUAUUUUUCAGGUUUAAAUUAUCAAUUUUACUAAUAUAAUGUUACUAGUAGUAUUUAUUAAAAUCGAAUUUAUAUCAUAUUUUCAUGUAAAACGAUUUUAUGAAAUAUAUAAAUGCAUUUUCGAUUAAAAUUUCGUUUAAUAAUAAUGUUUUCAUUAAAUUUCGAAAUUUUACUUUUAUUAAAAUUCGUUAUUUAUAAACUCAUUACUUAUAAAAUUUAUUAUUUACAAAAUAUCGAUUUUAGAUUAUUUAUCGUUUUAGUGCUAACUCAAUAAAUUAAUAUUCUGAAAGAAACCGGACUUGGAGCUCAGGAAGAACGAUCCAUCAGACGGGACUACGUUGAGGUACUGAUGGGGACGAUGGACACGAGUAGUGGCGAGGAAUUUCACGUUAAUAAUAUUCACCUAGUUUAUGCUUAAAGUUUUAAUAGUUUUAAUUAAAGACUUUUAGUAAGUUAUGUACUUUUAUUUUGAUAAUAUAAAGGAUUAUUAUAUAUAUUUUGGAGUAUUUAAUGGCUUAUGAUUGAUGUUUGCCUUGUAAUUUCCAAAAAGGAAGUUACGGCAGGUAAUGCCCUGACCAAUUAGGUUAAUUCCGCUGCUAAUUAUGCUUUAAUAAUUGAAUUAGAGGUCGGGGCGUUACAGUUUGGUAUUCAGAGCAAAGGUUCUGGACCAUAAGUGCUAAACCUUACGGGUUUUGCGCAUAGUAGAAUUCAAUAGGCUUGAAGCAAAGAGUUUAGUUAAAAAGAAUAUGUUAAAAUCAUGUUAAGUUAAAAUGAAAUGAGUGUGAGCGUAGGAACGCACGGGAUAAAAGGGAUUCAUUUUUCAUGGUAUGUGUGUUUUCUUGAUUGAAUAUGUUAUGCGAAAUAUCGAUUAUCAAGGUUGCUAACGAUGCCACGAACGAAGCUCACAUCAAGCACAACAUUCACGAUGACGUCGUCCACAAUGAUGUUUCCCAUGACGAUUUCUAUGACGACCAAUCUAUAAGAGACCACAAGGAGAUGAUGGAACGAUUAGGAACUACACGUACGUUGUCAACUGAAAUGGUCAAAGAUUCUCGGAAAACGAAAGUUACUAAUACAAACGGAAAUGCGUCACUAUUUAAAGAAGUUUUCACCUUUGAAUUCACCAAUCUAUGAUCGCAAGCCGAUUCGAUGGAAUUUGAAGACUACUCGAGACUUUCGAAAUGCUCUAACGAAUGGAAUUUAAUAUCGUGCUAAAACGAAUACUUGUUAUCGAUGUCGAGGAAAAGAUCAUUUCGUUAAAAAUUGUCCUAAACCACCGACCAAUCAUGAACGAAACAACAACAAUGCUAAAUCCAUCACGCCCGUCAACAUACGUAAGAGAUUACAUGAUAAAGGACAAAAAUGACGCCAACGCUGAUAUUAUUCUGAUUUGCUCUCUCUCGCUUUAGAAUCGAACUUCCCUUGAUUUCAUGUUUAUUGUCACAUGUCAUGUUAUGAGUUUCCUACCCUAAAUAGACUAGGAAAAGUUUAAAGCAUCACUAUGUCCUUGGAGAAGUCAAGUUAAGCACGGUUCGAACUCAAAGAAUUUGUGGAUAUGAAUUGUUUUGAGGAAUUUGUAUGGUUAUGAAAUCUGUAAGGAUAGAAUAGUACCAAACGAGACCAAGGAUCACUAAUUAAGUUGAGGUUAUUUUAGAUUUAAAGUGUUCAAGUUGUGAAUGAUAUUGAUUCUAGGGUUACCUCCCGUGUUAUUCAUGGUGAAUAUAUAUUGAUGUUUAUAAGUACAAAAGUCUAUUAUCUAGAAGAUGAUUGGUAUGCCUUAUGCCUCUAUUACGGAAGCUAAGAAGUUAUACAGAAAAGUUAUGAACCCAACAUGAGUUAUGAUAAAAGACCCAUUUGAGUUGACACAUGAAUAAGAUCUUGAGAAUUUUACCAAAAGAAGAAUUAAUGUACCAGUAAGGUUAAAAGGCAGAGUAUAGAGAGAAGCAUGAGUUUGUAUCUUAUAAGUGGUGAAGCACCAAUUAAAUCAAGGUUAUUCAAGGUUUAAAGCGUGCGAGUAUAAUUGAUUUUUGAGUUACUAUUCCGCACCCUUUAUAAUGAUUGUUCUAUGGUUUUAAGUACCUAAGUGUAUUUUCAGAUAUGUUAAGGAAGCUAAGCUAGAAUUUUAAAGUUAUGUGAGAAUAUUAUGCGAAACCACACAUGAUUAAGGUUACACAUGAAGUUCUGAGAAUUAUAAAAGAAGUUAUCAAGAAUUAGUUUUUCAGUAAGGUUGAUGGUAUUCUUGGUUUACCUUUCCGCAUCAUUUAUAAGGAUUGUUUUUGUGUAGUUAUCUGAAAGGACGCUUGAUUAUCUCCAUAAAAGAAAAGCUGAACUAGAGAAUGUAAGGUUUUGCAAAAAUGUUGUGAGGAAAAGUAUGAUUUAUAGUGAGGACAUGAAAUUGAGUUUGCAUAUAAAGCAUUAAAAUAAGUUAUCGAGAAUUCUGUCUAUCAGGUUGAUGAUAUUAAUGAAUGUUAUGAAAUUCGAAGAGAGUUAUGAAUGAUUGAGGAAUGAAAUGGAGUUGAGAAUAGAAAUUGACAAAAUGACAUAUCUGUAAAACCAGGUAGUAUGAACUAAGUUUUCUAGAAGCUAGAUUGUUUAUGAUAAAGGCAUGCUUGAUGGCUUAGCACUCUCCGCAAAAUACGAGAUUUUUUCGACCUAAGGAUAAGUAACCAAGUCGUAUGUCUAACGAUAUAUUUCUAGUCACGUAAUUGAAUUCGAACCCCUGCAACGAACGUAGUUAACGAAGUCACUCAACAUAGACGAAAGACCGGAGAUCGAAAUCAAAAAUAAUCGAAUAAUGAAAGUCAACGACAAAGAUUUCUGCAGCAAAGGAGCCAAUAGCAAAUGAAAGUGAAAUGUCUCUAAUUAUUCGCCCAUUAACGAUAUGAUGUAUGAAUGACUAUGUUUUCUAUGAAUGAUUAUGUUAUGGUCAACCAUGAUCGUGUGUUAGAUCAAAUGAUUAUGAAUGUUAUGCUUAGUUUGAAUUUUCAUAUGAAUUAUGUCUCUAUGAUAUGGAUUAUGUUUGUGCUGACAUGAUUGUACUGGUAAUCUAAUUGUUAUUCAUGGAUGCCGCCUCCGAUGGAAGUUCUCCUGAGCUCAGAGUACGAGAUUGAUAUAAUAAACAACUUUUACAAAUUAUUUGAGUAUUACAAAUAAUAGAUAAAUAUUUAUUUUAAUUAUGUACACAUAUAUUUUCAGAAUUAUAAGUUGCAUUAAAAGUUACUAUUUUGGUAGGAAAUAUUUUCAAACAAGAUCUCGCAAAGUAAAAUAGGAGCCUAAUCUAUGCUAACGAGUUUGCCCCUUUUAUGUUCCUUGCUCCUCGAUCCUAUUUUAUGAAGUAAAGUGGAGAUACGAAAGACGAUGGCGGAAUGUAAUUGACCUUAAUGACGAUUAAGGAUCAAUAUAUAAAUUUUGCCCCUUUUGUACUCCUUACUCUUCGAUUCUAGGUCUCGAGUUGAAGCGAAGUCCUAAAAGAUGAUGGCGGAAUGAAAGCUAGACAUUGUCAGAAUUGAAAUUGUGAGAUCUUGGUAUUAAAAUAAAACAUCAUACUUUAAUUCAAGCGUUUUCAAUUUUCAACAAACAUUUUAUAAAUCUAAUUUUCAAGUUUCGAGGACGAAACUUUUUCUAAGGGGGUAAGAAUGUAAUACCCCGAAUUUUUAAAACUCGGUUAAUUAGGCUUAAUUAUUUUUAUUUAGCUUAAAAUCGUUUUAAAUCCUAAUUUCGAACUUUAUUUUAAUUAACGAAGUUUUAUUUCGCUUGAAUUUUUAAUAUUGCUACACGAUUUAUUUAUUUUCAAUUUAUAAUUUAACUUUCAUAUUUACGAGCUUAACGAACCUUUUUUUUUUAAAAUUUUAAUUAUUUUCGGAUUUCUAAAUUUAUUUUAUUCAGAAACUAAAUUAAUUAUUUAACGUUCUUAUUUUUAUUCGGAAACUAAAUUUAUUUUUCGUUAACGAUAUUUUAUAAAGAAUUAUUUUAGCUAAACAUUUCUAUUUUUAGUAGUUUCCUAAAUAGCAAUUAUAAUUCAGAAAUUUGCCUAACUAGUGAAAAUUACGAAAAUGCCCUUUUAAAGCCAAAAUGCCAUUUUUCUUCUUCUCUCUUUGCUCUCCACGUAGAAAGCAAGAAUGAAGCGGUUUCUUCAUUCCUCUCCUUCCCUCAAUUCAGUCUUAAUUCAUUGCCUUGCUCCCCAAGGAUUUCCCUUUUCACCCACUCUACUUGUUAAUAAUCAGCCAUUCUUUUCCAUUUUCCUCAACCAAAAAUCAGAAAUCAAAGAAAAACCAAACCCACUUCAACUCCUUUGUUUCCUGCAAUUUCGAACCACCAACAGCCACCACCGUGCCAACCACCAUCACCACCUACUGAACAUCAUCACCGCAGACACCAACACCACAACCGCACGCACCACCCUUGCCUCCCUUGCUCUUCGCGCAUCCCCUGCCUCCCUCCUCCCUCUUCCUUCCCCUGCUUCACUGCACUACACCCGCACCCACCAACGCAGCACCACCACCUGCAGCCACCACUACCACCAUCUCCUCACCUCGCUACAACCAUCACUCAAUCACCCGACCACCCAGAACCACCGCACACCCACCGUAGCCCCUGCCUCCCCUCCUUCGAACUCCCCUGCCUCUUCCUCUCUUUACCUCGCUGCACACCAACGCCACACACACCACCACCACUGUCCACCCUCACCACCUUAUUCAUUGACCUCCGCCGCCCACAAUUCCCGGCGAGCUGUUAUUGCGCCGCCCAAAACUGACCGCAGACACCCCAAACUCCCCUGCUUUUCCGAUCCUUUUCGCCUCCCUCUCCUUCGCGACGCGCCGCCGUGAAGCCCCCCACUACCACCUUCGCCUUCACCGGCGUAGCCCGACGGCAUAAAGCCGCCCAUCUCAGCCGCCGUCCUCUCCUCUCCUCCUCCUCCUCUCCUUCGUGCUCCCCUGUUUCGCACUCCCUCCCCUAUUUGGUCGACUUCCAGGAACCAGAAACCAAAAAUACGUUUUUGUUUUAGCAAAUCCAAAACAAAAAGGGUUGGGCCCAAUUUUAAUAUUUGGGUUUUGAUAAGCUCAUUUCCUAUUGUUAUUUUCAGAUUUAUGAAUUUACCUUCCAUGUUUUUCUAAAUAAAUUUGAUAAAGUAUUUUAAUAUAUAUUUAUAUAAUUAUUUACUAAUAAAAUUGUUUAUUAUUUUUCAGGUUUAAAUUAUCAAUUUUACUAAUAUAAUGUUACUAGUAGUAUUUAUUAAAAUCGAAUUUAUAUCAUAUUUUCAUGUAAAACGAUUUUAUGAAAUAUAUAAAUGCAUUUUCGAUUAAAAUUUCGUUUAAUAAUAAUGUUUUCAUUAAAUUUCGAAAUUUUACUUUUAUUAAAAUUCGUUAUUUAUAAACUCAUUACUUAUAAAAUUUAUUAUUUACAAAAUAUCGAUUUUAGAUUAUUUAUCGUUUUAGUGCUAACUCAAUAAAUUAAUAUUCUGAAAGAAACCGGACUUGGAGCUCAGGAAGAACGAUCCAUCAGACGGGACUACGUUGAGGUACUGAUGGGGACGAUGGACACGAGUAGUGGCGAGGAAUUUCACGUUAAUAAUAUUCACCUAGUUUAUGCUUAAAGUUUUAAUAGUUUUAAUUAAAGACUUUUAGUAAGUUAUGUACUUUUAUUUUGAUAAUAUAAAGGAUUAUUAUAUAUAUUUUGGAGUA